UUGAUUUGAGUUUCUGAUUUUACCAUAAUGGUGGCCUCUUCUCUUUAUUUUCUCUUUACUAAUGGGUGGAAAAUGUUUAACUUUCUAAGUUUAAUUCAGAUCAAGAGAGCGGGGAAGCCGGGAUCGGGACCGGGACCGUGACCGUGACCGGGAAUCUAGCAGGGAUCGUGAUAGUCGUGAUAGAGGACGAGACUAUGACCAUAAGAGCAGAGAUCGUGAUAGACAUUAUGACCGUGACCGUGACCGUGACCGUGACCGUGACCAUGACCGUGAUCGAGAUAAAGAUCGUGCUCGCAGCUAUGACUCUAGGAGUCGCCAUAGAUCUCGUUCACGGUCAAGAGAACGUUCCAGGGAUUACGAUCGCCACAGGUUCUCAUUUUUGACAGCUACAAUAUUUUAGUAAUUUCUUUUUGAGUUAUUAUGUCAUGUGGUAGCCCAAUGCA
rnacentral:lncRNA from 1 species